CUUAUAUAGGCAUGGGCGUGGUCUCAUUCCACAUAUGGCCCCGCCUCUCAUCUACCAUUGGACUGUUCCCUCAGACAGCGCGUGCGCAUUGCGGCUUCUGGGCGGGGCACACAUAGCACCGCCCCUCAUCUCCCAUUGGUCCGUUUCCUCAGGCAGCGCGUGCGCAGUGGUUCUUAAAGGGUGGGGCACAUAUAGCCCCGCCCCUCAUCUCCCAUUGGUCCGUUCCUGCGGGCGGCGCGUGCGCAGUGCGCGUUGAGGGCGGGACCGGCGGGAGCGGGAAAACGCGAACCGGGAAACGGGAAAAACCGGAACCGGAACCGCGGAACGGGAACGGAGCGGGAAAAACGGGAACCGGGGAACGGGAAAAUCCGGAACCAGAACCGGGAACGGACCGGGAAAAACCGGAACCGGGGAACGGAAAAACCCGGAACCGGAACAGGGAACGGACCGGGAAAAACUGGAACCGGGAACCGGUCCCGGGGAGCCCCCGGCAGCCCCGGGAUGAGGCGGCGGUGCGGGGGCGGCGCGGCCCCGGCCGAGGCCUGCGGGGUGUGGCUGGACACGGCGGAGCUGAAGCGGGGCCGGGCGCGGCCCCUCACGCUCAGAGCACCCAGAAGUGCAGGGAGGAAGCAGAGCCCGGGGCUGCUCCCACAGCCCGGCAGCGGGGACAGCAACCCCCGGCACAGCAUCGGCCCCAGGCACAGCCCCAGCUCCUGGCAGAGCUCCAUCCUCAGCUUCUUCAGCCCCCAGCCAGAUGACAAAGAGAACAUCAGGCCCGCUGCUCGCCGUGAGGAGCCCAGGGUGAAGAUCCUGCCCCUGCCCCAGCUGGAGGGAGCCCAGGAGGAGCCGCCCGGGGCUGGGCAGGGCCGGCAGGGCCCAGCCCGGGCAGCACAAACAGCCCCGGAGCUCAGGGUGGGCUCGCAGGGGCUCAGCAGAGCCUCCCCCGGGGCUGGGGGCCAUUCCUGGGACAAACCCUGGGUGUCCCCUGCAGGAACGGCCCCAGGGGCCAGGACAGCUCUGCCGUGCCCCAGAGCUGGGGCUGGGGGCACAAACCCGGCCCUGGGGGCUGCUCCCAGCCGGGGCUGCUGCUCCCCACAGAGCCCGGGGCCAGCACAGCCCCUGCGGGAGCGGGGCCAGGGCCGGGUGGGGCCCUGCAGGGAGAGCCAGGGCUGCAGGGACAGGGACACCCAGAACCCCAACAGGGACAGGGACAGCCCCAACAGGGACACCCAGAGCCCCAACAGGGACAGGGACACCCAGAGCCCCAACAGGGACAGGGACAGGGACUGGGACAGUGCACACAGGGACAGGGACAGCCCCAGGGCCACCCCCUGCCUCUCCAGGGACAGGGACAGGAACAGUGCCCACAGGGACAGGGACAAGGACAGGGCCAGCCCCAGCCCCUCCAGGGACAGGGACAGCCCCAGGUUCCCCCUCAGGGUCACCCCCAGCCCCCCGGAGCCCCCCGAGCUGGGCUCUGAGCCCCUGUUCACGCAGGACUCAGAAGGGAACAGGGUCAUCAAGCACUGGUGAGAGCCCAGCCGGGCCCUGCGGUGCUCACAGAGGGGAGGGAACCCCCUGGUGCAGCCCCCAGCUCCUGUUUGUUCUCAUGGAUGCUGCUUUAAUCCAAAUAAAAGUUGCAGUUUGUUUCUUUUUGGCUCUGGC
ensembl:lncRNA